rnacentral:rRNA from 1 species
UUCCAGGAAAAGCCUCUAAGCUUCAGAUUGUAAGGAAUCGUACCCCAAACCGACACAGGUGGUCGGGUAGAGAAUACCAAGGCGCUUGAGAGAACUCGGGUGAAGGAACUAGGCAAAAUGGUACCGUAACUUCGGGAGAAGGUACGCUCUUGAUGGUGAAGUCCCUUGCGGAUGGAGCUGACGAGAGUCGCAGAUACCAGGUGGCUGCAACUGUUUAUUAAAAACACAGCACUGUGCAAAAUCGUAAGAUGACGUAUACGGUGUGACGCCUGCCCGGUGCCGGAAGGUUAAUUGAUGGGGUUAGACUUCGGUCGAAGCUCUUGAUCGAAGCCCCGGUAAACGGCGGCCGUAACUAUAACGGUCCUAAGGUAGCGAAAUUCCUUGUCGGGUAAGUUCCGACCUGCACGAAUGGCGUAAUGAUGGCCACGCUGUCUCCACCCGAGACUCAGUGAAAUUGAAAUCGCUGUGAAGAUGCAGUGUACCCGCGGCUAGACGGAAAGACCCCGUGAACCUUUACUACAGCUUGGCACUGAACAUUGACCCUACAUGUGUAGGAUAGGUGGGAGGCUUUGAAGCACGUACGCCAGUAUGUGUGGAGCCGUCCUUGAAAUACCACCCUUGUAGUGUUGAUGUUCUAACGUCGACCCCUAAUCGGGGUUGCGGACAGUGCCUGGUGGGUAGUUUGACUGGGGCGGUCUCCUCCCAAAGAGUAACGGAGGAGCACGAAGGUGGGCUAAUCACGGUUGGACAUCGUGAGGUUAGUGCAAUGGCAUAAGCCCGCUUGACUGCGAGAAUGACAAUUCGAGCAGGUGCGAAAGCAGGUCAUAGUGAUCCGGUGGUUCUGAAUGGAAGGGCCAUCGCUCAACGGAUAAAAGGUACUCCGGGGAUAACAGGCUGAUACCGCCCAAGAGUUCAUAUCGACGGCGGUGUUUGGCACCUCGAUGUCGGCUCAUCACAUCCUGGGGCUGAAGUCGGUCCCAAGGGUAUGGCUGUUCGCCAUUUAAAGUGGUACGCGAGCUGGGUUUAGAACGUCGUGAGACAGUUCGGUCCCUAUCUGCCGUGGGCGUUGGAAGAUUGAAGGGGGCUGCUCCUAGUACGAGAGGACCGGAGUGGACGAACCUCUGGUGUUCGGGUUGUGUCGCCAGACGCAUUGCCCGGUAGCUAAGUUCGGAAUCGAUAACCGCUGAAAGCAUCUAAGCGGGAAGCGAGCCCUGAGAUGAGUCUUCCCUGAUACUUUAAGUAUCCUAAAGGGUUGUCGGAGACUACGACGUUGAUAGGUCAGGUGUGUAAGUGCUGUGAGGCAUUGAGCUAACUGAUACUAAUUGCCCGUGAGGCUUAACCAU